rnacentral:rRNA from 1 species
UAGGGAAUCUUCGGCAAUGGACGAAAGUCUGACCGAGCAACGCCGCGUGAGUGAAGAAGGUUUUCGGAUCGUAAAACUCUGUUGUUAGAGAAGAACAAGGGUGAGAGUAACUGUUCACCCCUUGACGGUAUCUAACCAGAAAGCCACGGCUAACUAUGUGCCAG